AUCAGGGCCUUGUACUGGACCGUCUUGCCACACCAGUGGGUGCAGUUGCUGGAUUGUAAGGACAAGUUUCACAUCUGGGCAGAUCCAACAGUGAGUAGUGCGUAUCAGGAGAAAUGAUCAUUCAAGAAGAACCUUAGCCAUUGGUCAAGGAUGGGAUCCACAAAUGUAAGAUUUCAUGGUCUUUCGAGAGGCCGCCUGACAGGGUGGAAAGAGCACCAGCUUUUUGGAGUCAGCUAUACCUGAGUUCUGGUCCUAACUGUGACACAAAUAAGCUGUGGGACCUUGGGCAAGUUAUUUAAUCUUUUGGAGAUUCAGAUUUCUUAUCUGUGAAUGGAAAUAAGAAUGCCUACCUUGUAGAGUUGUUUGUAGGAAUUUAAUUAAACUUCACAAAUACAGCGACUAG